rnacentral:rRNA from 1 species
AGCUCCAAUAGCGUAUAUUAAAGUUGUUGCAGUUAGAACGCUCGUAGUCGGAUUUCGGGGCGGGCCGACCGGUCUGCCGAUGGGUACGCACUGGUCGGCGCGUCCUUCCUUCCGGAGACCACUUCUACUCUUAACUGAGCGGGGUUGGGAAACGGAACGUUUACUUUGAAAAAAUCAGAGUGUUUCAAGCAGGCAACUCGCUCUUGCAUGGAUUAGCAUGGGAUAAUGAAAUAGGACUUUGGUGCUAUUUUGUUGGUUUCGAACACCGAAGUAAUGAUGAGAAGGGACAGUCAGGGGCACUCGUAUUCCGCCGAGAGAGGUGAAAUUCUCAGACCAGCGGAAGACGAACCACUGCGAAAGCAUUUGCCAGGGAUGUUUUCA